rnacentral:rRNA from 1 species
AAAACUUUGCAAUACACGAAAGUGUGACAGGGUCAUCCCGAGUGCCGACCGCUGAGGUUGGCUUUUACCCAGUCUAGAAAGCUGGGGGAAUAAGGAGAGGGCAAGUCUGGUGUCAGCCGCCGCGGUAAUACCAGCUCUCCGAGUGGUGUGGACGUUUAUUGGGCCUAAAGCAUCCGUAGCUGGCUGAACAAGUCCCCUGUUAAACCCACCGAUUUAAUCGUUGGUCUGCGGGGGAUACUGCUCGGCUAGGGGACGAGAGAGGCAGACGGUAUUCCCGGGGUAGGGGUGAAAUCCUAUAAUCCCGAGAAGACCACCAGUGGCGAAGGCUGUCUGCUAGAACGCGCCCGACGGUGAGGGAUGAAAGCUGGGGGAGCGAACCGGAUUAGAUACCCGGGUAGUCCCAGCUGUAAACGAUGCAGACUAGGUGUUUGGACGGCCACGUGCCGUUCUAGUGCCGCAGGGAAGCUGUUAAGUCUGCCGCCUGGGGAGUACGAUCGCAAGAUUGAAACUUAAAGGAAUUGGCGGGGGAGCAC